rnacentral:rRNA from 1 species
GCAUGCCUACAACAUAGCAUUAAUGCACCAGAUCCCAUUAGAACUUUGCAGUGAAGUGUGCUCAUGCUAGAGUAGUAUUGGGAUGGGUGACUUUCUGGAAGGUCCUAGUGUUUUACAUGCC